AUACUUACCUGGCAGGGGAAAUUCCAUGAUCACGAAAGUGGUUUUCCCAGGUCGAGGCUUAGCUAUUGCACUCCAGAUGUGCUGACCCCUGCGAUUUCCCCAAAUGUGGGAAACUCGAAUGCAUAAUUUGUGGUGGUGGGGGACUGCAUUCACACACACACACA
rnacentral:snRNA from 1 species